rnacentral:rRNA from 1 species
AUGGCGGAAUGCCGUCAGAUCGAGCAGCGUAAAGCUGAUGAGGUGCGACGCCUGGAAUUGGCGAGCAAGGAGGAAGAGCUGUUGGCAAGGGAAGGAGCUCUUGAGGAGGCAUAUUUUCGUGCUGCCGAGAUGAGGGCUGGCAAGGACAGACGGAGUCAUCGCCCCGAGAUGUUUGAUGGGACGGUGGCAACAGAAGCUAUGGCGGCAACAACAUCCAUGUCAGAAUCUAUUGCUGCUGCAAUUAGUCUCCCCCAGCUGCCUGCUAGAUCGUCUCCUCUGGCACAGAGUAAAUCAUCUGCUGCGGCUAGUCGGGCGGGGCUGACUAAAUAUGCUCAGGGUAAUGUGUUGCAAAAUAAUGAUAGGGCACACGUUGUUGCUACCAUGAGAGCUGAGGAUAGGAAUGCUGGUUCAGUUAAUGGGGCUCGCUAG